rnacentral:lncRNA from 1 species
GAGCCAGCCCAGCCCUGCCGACCGCAACACUCUCGGAAGGGCUCGGCCACCCGGAGCCUCGUCACGAGUCUUACCCAGGGUUCGGAGCGGGUCUGCAAGAAGGGGCAGGCCAGGCUGGGGCUGCAAGGCAGGGUCUUCCCUUGGAGAAGGGACCUGACUCUAUUAUUAAGCGAACGAAAGAGGCACUUGCCCUACAGUGUUGUGUGCAUAGUGGAUGUGCAGCCAGCAUUGGCUCAUGUGUGAAGGAGCAUACACUCCUGGAAAGUCUGAGCAUGUCCAUACGCAUCAUCUCACUGGGCCCCUGCAGCUCACUGAAAGAAGAGGCAGACGCCUGCCCCAACUGCCCAGAGCCCUACUGGCUGAGCGGAUCCCUGAUGUCCUUAGUUAAGCUCUCACCCAGCAUGACUGUUUUCCUCAGAAGAAGGCACUAGUGGGGACACCUUUUCCUGGGGUCUCUAUGCAGGGAAUGGGCUGGAUGUGUACAGACCUGGCCACCAUGCCUUUGGGGGCUGGUGUCACGGCCAGGCCAUGACUCUAAAGAAUGAGGGUGUAGAGCACGGCCUCUCUCCUGGAAUGGCAUCUUAUACAUAUAACCCAUUGGAGCCAAGAGUUUUACCUUUACAUGCAACUACAUUUUCAGAGGUUGAUUUGACUUCCUCUUCAGAUGUUUUUUCUAUUCAAGGGGUAAAACAUAGGGAUAUUUGGACUCUCAGAACAGUGGUCUGGAUUUUCCUCUUUGACCUUUGCUUACAUGGAAUUGUGCCCCAAAGAGCUGGCGGCUGCGUGGUAGGACAUGCAUACUGUGUUUAAGCUCCCAUUUCACCUUUCAUUUUCUGAAAGACCUGUGAACUGCCGCAUCUCACAGGGGAAGAACCCACAGAACAUUAACAUCUCCAUCUCCAGGCUGCAGAGGUACCGAGCCAGUGGAUCCU